rnacentral:rRNA from 1 species
AUUGAACGCUGGCGGCAGGCCUAACACAUGCAAGUCGAGCGGAUGAAGGGAGCUUGCUCCUGGAUUCAGCGGCGGACGGGUGAGUAAUGCCUAGGAAUCUGCCUGGUAGUGGGGGAUAACGUCCGGAAACGGGCGCUAAUACCGCAUACGUCCUGAGGGAGAAAGUGGGGGAUCUUCGGACCUCACGCUAUCAGAUGAGCCUAGGUCGGAUUAGCUAGUUGGUGGGGUAAAGGCCUACCAAAGCGACGAUCCGUAACUGGUCUGAGAGGAUGAUCAGUCACACUGGAACUGAGACACGGUCCAGACUCCUACGGGAGGCAGCAGUGGGGAAUAUUGGACAAUGGGCGAAAGCCUGAUCCAGCCAUGCCGCGUGUGUGAAGAAGGUCUUCGGAUUGUAAAGCACUUUAAGUUGGGAGGAAGGGCAGUAAGUUAAUACCUUGCUGUUUUGACGUUACCAACAGAAUAAGCACCGGCUAACUUCGU